CCUACUUUCGUGUAAGGUAAAGGGAGCACGCCAACUCCCUGUCUCGUGGUAGGGAGUUGGCGUGCUCCCUUUACCUUACACGAAAGUUGGUU